UACGUAGGUGGCAAGCGUUGUCCGGAAUUAUUGGGCGUAAAGCGCGCGCAGGUGGUUUCUUAAGUCUGAUGUGAAAGCCCACGGCUCAACCGUGGAGGGUCAUUGGAAACUGGGGAACUUGAGUGCAGGAGAGAAGAGUGGAAUUCCACGUGUAGCGGUGAAAUGCGUAGAGAUGUGGAGGAACACCAGUGGCGAAGGCGGGUCUCUGGACAGUUCCGUGACGCUGAGGCACGAAGGUCAGGGGAGCAAACGGG
rnacentral:rRNA from 1 species